rnacentral:lncRNA from 7 species
AAAGUCUAAAUUAGAAGUGGGUUUUAGAAAGACUUAGAGAUGCUCUAACAAAUCAACUAACCUUGAAAAGUAGCAUCACACACACAUAGGAAAACAAAAAAUGCUGACACAAAUAAAAUUUUGGAAAAACACACACACACUAUGACCAAGUAUAUAGAAAACAAACCUCCCAGAUUGUUACUCCCCCAUUCUAACAUGUGAGGAUUUUAUGUUUCGUUGUAAGUUAAUCUUAUAUAACUUUAAUGAAAUUGGAGGACAUCGAAUUAAGUUUAUGAAGCCUAAAUUAAAAUAUGUUUUCAUGGUACACUUAUUUGGUAUUCUAUCCUCUCAAUCAUAACAUUCAAAAUAUGUCCACAAAUGAAGCAUUUCUUGCAUAAUCUAACCUCUCCUUCAUUAUGAUUAAUUUGGUAUAAUUAGUGCUUGCCAUUUAGUUAUUAGUGCUAUGUCAAUGUAAUCUUGAUGCUUAAAAUGUCAGCAUGUGUUAAUUGCAUUUACAAUAACUUGGUGAUUAAUUGUGGAGCAUCACGAUCAUUUUCUUUUUCCUUAAUCUGCCCUGCUUGUAAAAAUACUUAGAUUUAUGUAGAGAUGGAGUAGAUGUUAAUAUUUUUGGAAGAGUAAAAAAAGAUUGACUUGAAAUAAACACAUUACGUUUAGUAGCUGUUCUCAUUCAUUAAACAAUAUUAUUACACGUACCACCCUUGCCCAUUACCAUCAAUUCAAUACAUUGUGGCAGCAUACCUCUCUCACUUUUCUCUUUAAAAUUUGAUGGUGCCAUCUUCCCUAUUUAGACGUCAACCAACAAAAGAAACAUGAAGAGCAAAUAAAGGACAAACACAAGUAACAUGAGAAUACGAAGCAUCGGGAAAACGACAUGGUCUUCAGUAGAAUCGCAGGUAAACACUAAACAUUUUGAUUCUGAUACCUAUAAUUUUCUUAAAUAAAAUAGUCUGAAAUUGUUUUUAUUAUUAUCUAAAAAAGUAUCCACAAUGAAGCGAGAUAUGUAGAACCAGGUCUGUCUAGUUACUUAAACAUCCUUCUCUAACAAUAUCCUUAUUAUCUGCCUAGUUACUUAACCAUCCUUCUUUUUUACUACUCAGCUAUGUGAGAUGAAUUUUGCCGUAAAAAUAUCUUGUGAAGCAUCACUGCUAAAGGUUGUACCUCGAGAGAUCAUGUGGAAGUGAGGCUGUUUAGACUCUUGGG